rnacentral:rRNA from 1 species
AUUGAACGCUGGCGGCAGGCCUAAUACAUGCAAGUCGAGCGGAAUGAUGAAGAAGCUUGCUUCUUCUGAUUUUAGCGGCGGACGGGUGAGUAACACGUGGGCAACCUACCUUGUAGAUUGGGAUAACUCCGGGAAACCGGGGCUAAUACCGAAUAAUCCAUUUUGCUUCAUGGCGAGAUGUUGAAAGACGGUUUCGGCUGUCACUACAAGAUGGGCCCGCGGCGCAUUAGCUAGUUGGUAGGGUAAUGGCCUACCAAGGCGACGAUGCGUAGCCGACCUGAGAGGGUGAUCGGCCACACUGGGGCUGAGACACGGCCCAGACUCCUACGGGAGGCAGCAGUAGGGAAUCUUCCACAAUGGACGAAAGUCUGAUGGAGCAACGCCGCGUGAGUGAAGAAGGUUUUCGGAUCGUAAAACUCUGUUGUAAGGGAAGAACACGUACGAGAGUAACUGCUCGUACCUUGACGGUACCUUAUUAGAAAGCCACGGCUAACUACGUG